rnacentral:rRNA from 1 species
CCUACGGGAGGCAGCAGUGGGGAAUAUUGGUCAAUGGAGGAAACUCUGAACCAGCAACGCCGCGUGAAUGAUGAAGGUCUUCGGAUUGUACAGUUCUUUUCUCAGGGAAGAAGAAAGUGACGGUCCCUUAGUACUAAGCCUCGGCUAACUACGUGCCAGCAGCCGCGGUAAUACGUAGGAGGCGAGCGUUAUCCGGAAUGACUGGGCGUAAAGGGUGCGUAGGUGGUGUGACAAGUUGGUAGCGUAACUCCGAGGCUCAACCUCGGCACUACUACCAAAACUGUCGGACUUGAGUGCAGGAGGGGCAAUUGGAAUUCCUAGUGUAGCGGUGGAAUGCGUAGAUAUUAGGAGGAACACCGGUGGCGACGGCGAAUUGCUGGACUGUAACUGACACUGUGGUACGAAAGCGUGGGGAGCAAACAGGAUUAGAUACCCCUGUAGUC